ACNUAAAAUCCGUUGGCUUUUUAGACCGUGAGGGUUCAAGUCCCUCUACCCCC
rnacentral:tRNA from 1 species